rnacentral:lncRNA from 10 species
CAGGCUGCUGGAACCAGCAGUGGUAACCCACUGGGUCACCUACCACAGGGUGGAAGCUUUGUUCUUUUGCUCUUUGCAAUAAGUCUUGCUGCUGCUCACUUUUUGGGUCCACAGUGCCUUUAUGAGCUGUAAUACUCACUGCGAAGGUCUACAGCUUCACUCCUGAGGCCAGCGAGACCAUGAGCCCACCAGCAGGAAUGAACAACUCCGGACGGGAGGAAGAAACAACUCCAGAUGCGCUGCCUUAAGAGCUGUAACACUCACCUUGAAGGUUUGCAGCUUCACUCUUGAAGCCAACGAGACCACGAACCCACCAGAAGGAAGAAACUCCGAACAUGAUCAGAAGGAACAAACUCCAGACACAUCACCUUUAAGAACUGUAACGCUCACCACGAGGGUCUGCAGCUUCAUUCUUGAAAUCUAGCACGGAUGGAGCCCUGAAGUUUCUGAGGCUCCCCAAAGGAAUUAAAAGCUUGGUAGAAAAGGGUGGAAUGCCCAGGGGCCAGCAAUGAUGAGAUGGAGAGAGACUUGCUGGGAUGGAUGCUGGGGGUGACUGCCCAACCAGAGACCAAAGGAAGGUAAGGCAGGGAUACGAUGGGUCUGUAGCACCAGCGAGAGCCAUGAAAAGACCAUGUAGCCAGAAAGGGUUGUAGCUCCCUAGCCAUGCUGAGACUUACUAAACCACAAGACAAAUCAACUACCAAUCCCAUCCACUGCAGAAGACAAGAGAGAGAGACAAAGGAUAUCACCCCGAAGACCAGAUGAAUGGGAGUACUCCGACAACUCUCCCCACCAAGAAGCCAAGUCAUACAUUUCCCCCAGGAGUCUCCAUUGCCAUUUUGAGGAUGAGCUGAGGACAGGAAAAAAAUACUAAUAUUUAAUAUUAAUGAGAGAUAAUACUUUUUGAGAACUUUGGUGCCAGGUCCGAUUCAAGGUAUUUUACUUCCAUAAGUUCAUCUCCCAACAACCUUUGAGGAAUUUUAUUCAAUUGUAUAUGUUAUUACUCUCAUUUCAUAUAUAUAGAAACUGAGACACGGAAUAAAUCAUUUGCUUAAGAUCACACAGCUACUCAAGUGACAGAACUGGGAUUCAAAACAGGCAGUCUGGCUUUAAAACACUCAUUCAUAGCCAUUCUGCUGUGGUGUCUUUCUUUACAAAAUAAGAAAUCCUUGAGACAUCGAAACUUACAAAGUGGCACAGG